CGUCGUGAUGUUUACUUCUGGUGUACUGGUGCUUUAUUAUAAGUAAUGCUCCUAGUUAAUUAAAAUGGCAUUUCACCAUCCGAGGACGGAGCCACAAUUUGGAAUUAAAAACAGGAUAACGAAACAACACAAGAGAAGGAACACGGUAGUGACUUCUACGCUUGAACGAAAGAAUCUUGUCUGAGAGACGACCAUUAGAGGAGAGGUUCAAAUAUAAACAACUGGCGUACCAACCUACCACGCUCACCAGAUGAUCAUAGACUGAAGCAAACAGAAACAACAUGGAAUUCGUAUUGCUUCUACGGUCGUUGGGAAAGAACGAGGACCCUCUGUGCUUCCAAAGCCAUAACAAAGUUCGGAAACCAUCGGGCAGCAUAUUACCGCCUUCUUCGUUCUUUGAGGAGAGUUCUUCGUGCUUUAAGCUGCCGCAGGUGUCUUCAGUGUGCUGAAAAUGGAGGAGAAUAUCCGACAUAUCACGUAGUUUUGUUUCCUACAUUGCCGCACCACUGUAUCAGAGUCUACCAAGUCGGAGGAUGGACAGGAAAAGAUUUGAUCAUAGAGGAACUGUGAAAAUUAUAGACAGUUUGUUGGAUCACAGCGUUUUGCUGGCGUUGUAACAACACAGAUUGUUUGGCAGAGUCCACUGGUCUUUCUAAACUGUUGUAAAUUUGCUUUGUGUUUCAAUUUCACAACUUCUAUUUUCAAGAAAAUUUACAGAUAUCUCAUACAAGUAUGUUAGCACUGCUAUUGGCUCUGUUGGUUAGGUAAUAUUUUUGUA